rnacentral:rRNA from 1 species
UUAAAUUGAAGAGUUUGAUCAUGGCUCAGAUUGAACGCUGGCGGCAGGCCUAACACAUGCAAGUCGAACGGUAACAGGAAGCAGCUUGCUGCUUUGCUGACGAGUGGCGGACGGGUGAGUAAUGUCUGGGAAACUGCCUGAUGGAGGGGGAUAACUACUGGAAACGGUGGCUAAUACCGCAUAACGUCGCAAGACCAAAGAGGGGGACCUUCGGGCCUCUUGCCAUCAGAUGUGCCCAGAUGGGAUUAGCUUGUUGGUGAGGUAACGGCUCACCAAGGCGACGAUCCCUAGCUGGUCUGAGAGGAUGACCAGCCACACUGGAACUGAGACACGGUCCAGACUCCUACGGGAGGCAGCAGUGGGGAAUAUUGCACAAUGGGCGCAAGCCUGAUGCAGCCAUGCCGCGUGUAUGAAGAAGGCCUUCGGGUUGUAAAGUACUUUCAGCGGGGAGGAAGGUGUUGUGGUUAAUAACCGCAGCAAUUGACGUUACCUGCAGAAGAAGCACCGGCUAACUCCGUGCCAGCAGCCGCGGUAAUACGGAGGGUGCAAGCGUUAAUCGGAAUUACUGGGCGUAAAGCGCACGCAGGCGGUCUGUCAAGUCGGAUGUGAAAUCCCCGGGCUCAACCUGGGAACUGCAUUCGAAACUGGCAGGCUUGAGUCUUGUAGAGGGGGGUAGAAUUCCAGGUGUAGCGGUGAAAUGCGUAGAGAUCUGGAGGAAUACCGGUGGCGAAGGCGGCCCCCUGGACAAAGACUGACGCUCAGGUGCGAAAGCGUGGGGAGCAAACAGGAUUAGAUACCCUGGUAGUCCACGCCGUAAACGAUGUCUACUUGGAGGUUGUGCCCUUGAGGCGUGGCUUCCGGAGCUAACGCGUUAAGUAGACCGCCUGGGGAGUACGGCCGCAAGGUUAAAACUCAAAUGAAUUGACGGGGGCCCGCACAAGCGGUGGAGUAUGUGGUUUAAUUCGAUGCAACGCGAAGAACCUUACCUGGUCUUGACAUCCACAGAAGAAUCCAGAGAUGGAUUUGUGCCUUCGGGAACUGUGAGACAGGUGCUGCAUGGCUGUCGUCAGCUCGUGUUGUGAAAUGUUGGGUUAAGUCCCGCAACGAGCGCAACCCUUAUCCUUUGUUGCCAGCGAUUAGGUCGGGAACUCAAAGGAGACUGCCAGUGAUAAACUGGAGGAAGGUGGGGAUGACGUCAAGUCAUCAUGGCCCUUACGACCAGGGCUACACACGUGCUACAAUGGCGCAUACAAAGAGAAGCGACCUCGCGAGAGCAAGCGGACCUCAUAAAGUGCGUCGUAGUCCGGAUUGGAGUCUGCAACUCGACUCCAUGAAGUCGGAAUCGCUAGUAAUCGUGGAUCAGAAUGCCACGGUGAAUACGUUCCCGGGCCUUGUACACACCGCCCGUCACACCAUGGGAGUGGGUUGCAAAAGAAGUAGGUAGCUUAACCUUCGGGAGGGCGCUUACCACUUUGUGAUUCAUGACUGGGGUGAAGUCGUAACAAGGUAACCGUAGGGGAACCUGCGGUUGGAUCACCUCCUUACCUGAAAGAAGC